rnacentral:rRNA from 1 species
UACGGAGGGUGCAAGCGUUGUCCGGAAUCACUGGGCGUAAAGGGCGCGUAGGCGGCUCAUGAAGGCUGUGGUGAAAGUCCGGGGCUCAACCUCGGAUCGGCCGUGGCGACUCGUGGGCUGGAGCACUGUAGAGGCGGGUGGAAUUCCGGGUGUAGCGGUGGAAUGCGUAGAGAUCCCCAAGAACACCAGUUGCGAAGGCGGCUGACUGGACACAUAUUGACGCUGAGGCUCGAAAGCAUGGGGAGCAAACAGG